AACCUUAUGGACCUGCGGGCGUAUACCUGCGGAAGGAUCAUUACAAGUGACCCCGGUUUACCACCGGGAUGUUCAUAACCCUUUGUUGUCCGACUCUGUUGCCUCCGGGGCGACCCUGCCUUCGGGCGGGGGCUCCGGGUGGACACUUCAAACUCUUGCGUAACUUUGCAGUCUGAGUAAACUUAAUUAAUAAAUUAAAACUUUCAACAACGGAUCU
rnacentral:misc_RNA from 1 species